GGCACAUAUUAAUAUCUUCCAAUGGCAGCAGAGACAAGAACAAGAAGUGACUGGUUGGCGGUUGCUAACCACUUGUCUAACAAAGGCUAAGUAUGUUUCUCUCUCAUUUCUUCUUAAGCGAAUGUUGAUGCAGUUAACACUCAAAUGGUGGUCACAAACUCAAGCGAAAAUCAAAUGGAAAUGGACUCCAAUUAUGAUAGGAAAAGCGAGUUAAAAGCCUUUGAUGAUACAAAAGCCGGUGUGAAAGGACUUGUAGAUGCUGGGUUAACAAAGAUUCCUCGUAUAUUCAACUGCCAACAGUUUAUCUGCAAUCACAACUCAACAAGUAGAUCUGAUCAGCUCGAUAUUCCUGUCAUAGACCUUAAAGGUAACCUUGAAGAUUCAAGUUUAGACGCAAAGAUCAUCGACAAAGUUCGAAACGCAUGCGAAAAGUGGGGUUUCUUUCGGCUGAUCAAUCAUGGAGUUCCUAAUAAUAUCUUGGAUGAGACACUCGAUGGAGUCCGGAGAUUUCACGAGCAAGGCACUGAAGCUAAGAAAGAAUUCUAUACACGCGAUUUCUCAAAAAAGGUGCUUUACAUGUCAAAUUUUGAUCUGUAUCAAGCAGGUGCGACCAAUUGGAGGGAUUCAUUUGUUACUUUCAUGGCUCCUGAUCCUCCCAGCCCUCAAGAAUUGCCUGAUGUGUGCAGAGACAUAGUGAUUGAAUACACAAACCAAGUAAUGAAAUUGGGAAAUACCCUAUUUCAGUUGCUAUCACAGGCUCUCGGGCUUAAUCCCUAUCACCUCAAGGACAUGGGUUGUGCCAAGGGCCUCUUAUUUUUAGGUCACUAUUAUCCACCAUGUCCUGAGCCAGAGUUAACCAUGGGCACUACCCAACAUACAGAUGGUAACUUUAUCACCAUACUUGUGCAAGACCAAAUAGAAGGUCUCCAAGUUCUUCAUCAGGAUCAAUGGGUGGAUGUGUCUCCCUUGCACGGAUCUCUAGUAGUAAAUAUCGGAGAUCUUCUUCAGCUCAUCUCCAAUGACAAGUUUAUUAGUGUUAAUCACAGAGUGCUAGCAAAGAAAGUUGGGCCAAGAAUUUCAGUGGCAUGUUUCUAUAGGCCACAAAUUCAGACAGGAAGUAGCUCAGAAAUUUAUGGACCAAUUAAGGAAUUGUUGUCAGAAGAAAAUCCUCCAAUUUACAGAGAAACAGAUGUAAAGGACUACAUGAAAAUCUACUUCUCCAAAGGUCUUGAUGGCACAUCUCCACUUGUACAUUUCAAGCUCUAAAACUUUAUUAGGGCGUUAGGCUUCUAAGAAUUUUAGGAACUUCGAACGAAGACUCCAAAUUUUGUGAAGCCUUGGUUGCGGUAAUAGAUGAUAAUUGAUAUGUUUUGCAAAUAAUUUGCAUAAUAAACAUGCC
rnacentral:misc_RNA from 1 species